rnacentral:rRNA from 1 species
CAUUAGCUAGUUGGUAAGGUAACGGCUUACCAAGGCAACGAUGCAUAGCCGACCUGAGAGGGUGAUCGGCCACACUGGAACUGAGACACGGUCCAGACUCCUACGGGAGGCAGCAGUAGGGAAUCUUCCGCAAUGGGCGAAAGCCUGACGGAGCAACGCCGCGUGAGUGAUGAAGGUCUUCGGAUCGUAAAACUCUGUUAUUAGGGAAGAACAUAUGUGUAAGUAACUGUGCACAUCUUGACGGUACCUAAUCAGAAAGCCACGGCUAACUACGUGCCAGCAGCCGCGGUAAUACGUAGGUGGCAAGCGUUAUCCGGAAUUAUUGGGCGUAAAGCGCGCGUAGGCGGUUUUUU